rnacentral:rRNA from 1 species
UACGUAGGGGGCAAGCGUUGUCCGGAUUUAUUGGGCGUAAAAGGCUUGUAGGUGGCCACGCCAAGUCGGAUGUGAAAUCUCCCGGCUCAACUGGGAGGGGUCAUUCGAUACUGGCGGGCUCGAGGCCGGUAGGGGGAAGUGGAAUUCCCGGUGUAGCAGUGAAAUGCGUAGAGAUCGGGAGGAACAUCAGUUGCGAAGGCGGCUCUCUGGACCAGCACUGACACUGAGGCACGAAAGCGUGGGGAGCAAACAGG